rnacentral:rRNA from 1 species
CGGGUGAGUAACACGUGGGCAAUCUGCCCCUCGCAGGGGGACAACCGGGGGAAACCCCGGCUAAUACCCCGUACGCUUACGGAGCCGCAUGGCUCCGUAAGGAGAGGUAGCUUCGGCCAUCCGGCGAGGGAUGAGCCCGCGGUACAUUAGCUAGUUGGUGAGGUAACGGCUCACCAAGGCAACGAUGUAUAGCUGGUCUGAGAGGAUGAUCAGCCACACUGGGACUGAGACACGGCCCAGACUCCUACGGGAGGCAGCAGUCGGGAAUCUUGCGCAAUGGGCGAAAGCCUGACGCAGCAACACCGUGUGGGCGAUGAAGGCCUUCGGGUCGUAAAGCCCUGUUGUUGGGGACGAAGGGCGAAGGGUUAAUAGCCCCUAGCCUGACGGU